rnacentral:miRNA from 1 species
CCACCGGCUUAUCUCUCCAUC